rnacentral:rRNA from 1 species
AGUGUCUUAAGGGUGCGUAACACGUAUGCAAUCUGCCCUGUACAGGAGGAUAGCUCCCCGAAAGGGGAAUUAAUACUCCGUAACAAGAUGGUGAGGCAUCUCACUAUUUUUAAAGCUGAGGCGGUACAGGAUGAGCAUGCGCAUGAUUAGUUAGUUGGCGGGGUAACGGCCCACCAAGACGAUGAUCAUUAGGGGAACUGAGAGGUUGAUCCCCCACACUGGCACUGAGAUACGGGCCAGACUCCUACGGGAGGCAGCAGUAGGGAAUAUUGGACAAUGGGUGCAAGCCUGAUCCAGCCAUGCCGCGUGCAGGAAGAAGGCCUUCUGGGUUGUAAACUGCUUUUGCCAGGGGAUAAAAUAGCUGUGCGCAGCGAAUUGAAGGUACCUGGUGAAUAAGCCACGGCUAACUACGUGCCAGCAGCCGCGGUAAUACGUAGGUGGCAAGCGUUGUCCGGAUUUAUUGGGUUUAAAGGGUGCGUAGGCGGUCUGUUAAGUCAGUGGUGAAAUACGGCAGCUCAACUGUCGAGGUGCCAUUGAUACUGGCGGACUUGAGUACUGAUGAGGUAGGCGGAAUGGACGGUGUAGCGGUGAAAUGCUUAGAUAUCGUCCAGAACACCGAUAGCGAAGGCAGCUUACUAAGGAGUAACUGACGCUGAGGCACGAAAGUGUGGGGAUCAAACAGGAUUAGAUACCCUGGUAGUCCACACUGUAAACGUUGAUCACUCGAUGUUGGCGAUACACAGCCAGAG